rnacentral:tRNA from 1 species
AGCGGAGUAGCCAAGUGGUAAGGCAACGGUCUCAUACGCCGUGUACCGCCGGUUCGAAUCCGGCCUCCGCAUCCA